rnacentral:rRNA from 1 species
GACGAACGCUGGCGGCGUGCUUAGCACAUGCAAGUCGAACGGAAGGGCCCUGCUUUUGUGGGGUGCUCGAGUGGCGAACGGGUGAGUAACACGUGAGUAACCUGCCCUUGACUUUGGGAUAACUUCAGGAAACUGGGGCUAAUACCGGAUAGGAGCUCCUGCUGCAUGGUGGGGGUUGGAAAGUUUCGGCGGUUGGGGAUGGACUCGCGGCUUAUCAGCUUGUUGGUGGGGUAGUGGCUUACCAAGGCUUUGACGGGUAGCCGGCCUGAGAGGGUGACCGGCCACAUUGGGACUGAGAUACGGCCCAGACUCCUACGGGAGGCAGCAGUGGGGAAUAUUGCACAAUGGGCGGAAGCCUGAUGCAGCAACGCCGCGUGCGGGAUGACGGCCUUCGGGUUGUAAACCGCUUUCGCCUGUGACGAAGCGUGAGUGACGGUAAUGGGUAAAGAAGCACCGGCUAACUACGUG